rnacentral:lncRNA from 1 species
CUACCCUUCUCAGCACCCCAAUCCCGCUCGCGCGCGACGUCCGCCUGGGAUUCCGAUACCUGGACGGGCAGUGAGGUUGGGGGUGACCUGCCGAACCCCCUCAGCCCAUCGAGACAGAGGUCCUCGGGGUUGAGGGAGGCUGCCAACGGCAGGCAAGUCCGGGCGGCGCCCCCCCGAGGACCGGGCGCGCUGGGCGAGGCGGCUCCUUCGCACGCUGGGCUGAGCCCGGAGCUCCGCGGCUGGGGACUAGCGACGCCGCCGAGGUCCGCCUUGGGGGGGUUGGGCAGCGUCGUCCCUGCGACCGUGCUCUCGGGACUUGGGAGAGGAAGGAGAAAGGACAAGAGCCCGAGGGAAGGAACCGUCGGUGUUUCAUGUCUGUUCUUUAAAAGAGGCAACCAGUUCUCGGCCAGACUGGGGUUAGCCGAGGCAACCGGUGCAGUGCUGCCUAGAAGCGCACAGGUCAAAGCCACGGCCGAGCCGUGUCGGGGUGCCCUGAGGCACCGCCACUUUCACACCGGGACAUAAAAUAACCACCAGCGUGGGGAGGUAUGCCCACCUUGCUUCUCUGUUGGCCAGAAGCAAAUGCAAAACAUAACGGGACAACGCUUACAACCGCAGCUCUUUCAUUAGACAAAAGCCAAUUUUACCUUCCCGCAACCAUCCGAGCCUUUGGAACUUUUAUUUGCGGCAUUGUGGCGCCCUCUGGCUGUGCUCGGAUUGCUUUCACGUUUGCCCACCUCCCGGUAGAGCGAAGGAUAGAGCUGGGAGUUGUCCUCGAAGGUGGAUCUGCCCUCCUGACCCGUGCCUGGAUUUGGGGGUUGGGUUGUCCUCCAAAAUCGAGGCGACAAAAUGCAACCGUAUCUUCAAAGGGAGGACGCCAAAGGCAAGUGCAUCUGCAUUCGACUGGGGAAAGGGUGUCAAUGUCAACCCAAUACUACAGGUCGCUAGAGGCUAUGCAGGUAACCGCUAGACGACGGUACUGCACAGGUAGCUACGGUUCAUACGCGGCCACGACAGAUAAAACGCGUGCAAGCUGGAAAUAUUCGCAUUUUAACCAAAGGGCGGUACCCCUGAAGCUGAAGGCGCAGGAAGGCAGGCGCUGA